UGAAUGUCCAUUAAAUGUAAUCUUGUUUUUCAGUCCAGCGCUCAAACCACAACUUCAGAGAAUUGGCCACCGAUGAAGACAUCAUCCAUCAUUCUACUGACGCUCCGCCAGAACACUUAGAGGUAAAUAUGGCCACUUUUCAAGUUGUACCUGUCUUUGGAAAACCACAAUCAUGAACACACUCAGAUAGAAUACAAAGACUUGUAAUUCCUAUUGAUAUCUUUCAAUCAAAAGUGUGAAAAAUCCUUUCAGCAGCAGCUUCUCCUUCUUAUCCGGCAUCAACGUUCCACAUCCUGCGUGCUUAUGCUACAUGUCAACAUACGUAUGUCUCUUCGCUUACUGACUCCAUCUCACCUCCUCAAAAUGAACAAAGAAACCCAAAAUGAUCCACUCAGAAAUUUGAGUUCUUUCUUUAAUGAAAUAGUGCUUUUAGAGUUGAUCUGAGGAGCCUGCUAGAACACUUAUCGCAGCAUCAACAGAGCUGCAGAAAAAAAAAGAAAGCUGCCUUAAUCGGAUUGCUGGAGCUCUAAAAGGUUUUCUGCACAUGGGUUCCUCUGCAGGCCGCCAGGCUCCGGGGCCAGGCUGGGCACCAGGGCCUGACUGCCAGCCCGACUCCACGGCUGGACUGGCUGAUAAAGUCCAGAGACUCACUGGUGUCUUUGUUAGCCACAACGAGCCCACGAGUAAGAUGAUCCUAAUUAGAGGCUUUGAAUAUGUGAUUCAAUCAGUCGACUCAGACAGACACACAAGCUCACUGAUACACAACACCCACACCUUUUAAUACAAAAAAAAAAAAAACACAGUAGAUGUUAUAUGUGCUGCUGCACAAUACAGACACACACUUUUAGACUCUGAUUUGCUUUUGUUCUCUUUUUUUUUUUCUCACCGUACACCUACACAUCAGUCCACGGACUCACACUGAGGAAUUCAUUUAUCAGUGGUUCACUGUGCCCUGCAGCAAGAGAGAGCUGCAGCAGACAUUGAUCAAACUGACUUCUAACAUGAAGAAGUUCAAAAUCGCACUUUUCAAAUCCCUUUACUGCCAGCAACCUUCCACUACCGAAAUAAAAGAAAGUGCGCACGCACACACACACAUACAUAUGCUCACACAUGCUAUUACACUCUGCAGUAUGUUGUCUAUUCCUGCAAACAUGGAGCACAUUGAUGCACAGAUCCCCGUUCACACGUUUUUACAAAAUGCAACAUAGCUCGAACAUUUUUAGCUCACACUCCAACAAAAAUGGCAUCACCACACUCCUCGAAUCCUCAAUGGCUGAGAAGUUUUUAUAAAAAUAAAGAUGUUUCAAAAGUGACAGUGGAAACUCUUCUGUGUAGUGCAGCCAGGUAGGUUCCUCGAGCGAAUAUCUCUACAAAACUUCUCAAAGUGCUUUUGAGAAGCAAUGCUAAAUUGGACAAUCAAUAUCUCUUUGAUUCCCCCAGUUCAGUAGUUUGUUCGGUAACACUUUAUUUGACGCCCAUCCUUAUAACUCUUAUAUUUAUAUGGAAUUAUAAUCACAUUAUAGCACUGUAUAACUAUAGUCAUAAACACUCAUAAAUGAUCAUAAUGCUUAAUAGCAAUAAUCAUGACACAUUAUAAAGCAUUAAAUCAUGACUUACAAGGUCAGGUAUUAUAAUGUGUUAUAACUGUUAACAACUCACUGAUAAUGCCCACAUAGAUAAUGCAUUAUACAUAUAUUUAUAAUGUGUUAUAAUCUGUUUAUAAACUUGUAUAACUAUCAUUUUAAACACUCAUUAAUUAUCACAAGGCUUUUAUUACAAGCAUAACACAUUAUGAUACCUGACCUUGUAAGUCAUGAUAAAAUGCUUUAUAAUGUGUUAUGAUUAUUGCUAUAAAGCAUUAUGAUCAUUUAUGAGUGUUUAUAGCUGUAAUUAUACAGUACUAUAAUGUGAUUUUAACGCAUUAUACAUAUAUUUAUAAUGCGUUAUAGAGAUAGGCGUCAAAUAAAGUGUAACUAAAUAAACAUUUUCUCUCUCCAAAUCAUGCCUUUAAAUUUCUUUAUCACACCUCCUCUGAUUCUGUUAAAUUAUUAGAUUAAUACUUGUCCUUGUUCCCUGACAGUCUUACUUUGAUUUUAUACAGUUUCAUAAGCUUUUUAGCUGUUAAAUAUACCGGUUUAUUAUCAGUGUUAUUAAUUAAAACCUUUUUUUAACAGGAUAACAGAUGAGCUUUGGAUAGAAAAAAAACAAUAAAUGCAAAAGUGUGAAGGCUAGGUGAUCUGAAAUGUAGCCGUGUCAGACUGCAAUAGAGACCAAAAAAAUCUCUCCCUGAGGUUCAGAUAAGCUCUCUAAACUUCUUAGAGAAUAAUCAAAACCCAUGUUCCUACUCCAUACUGCACAAAAGCCUGUUUGGCUUCCACAAAAAGUCAAGGAAAUGUACCAUCUUUUCGCACAGCAGCUCCAGAGUUAUUAGCCUUUGUUCCAACUGUUUUGCAUAUUCAGCCUCCCUUGCAGCCCACAUAGAUGUUAAUGCACUCCCACACAAACAGAUCGGUGUGAACAGGGCAAACAUAUUUUCUAUCUCUCUCUCUCUUUUUCUCUCACUGUCUCUCUCACACCGUCUCAACUGUCUUUCACUGCUAUCUUUUUCUAAAUCCCACUCAUAUCACGCGCAACUGGGCACACAUGUCCACACACACGCGCACACACACACACAAGAGGGUGUGCAAAGUAAGUUUUUUUUUUUUUUUUUCGGUGAAUCUCUGGCACAAGCUUUCAGUGUGCUAGAUCAGCUGAAAUAGGAUCCAUCCCUCAGAUCCCGCUGUACCUCUAACACACACUGAUGUAGCCUGAUCUCCUGUCAGUGAGACGGCCUGCAGGGAGCAAGUCUGGGGCUUAUAGCACGGCCUCCAGAGGCUCUGUCAGCCAGAUGCUCAUGGAGCUGGAGAGCCAGGAAACAAUAGCCAUGGAUGGAUGGACGGACAGACAGGUAUAUUACAGGGCUGAGUAUGCUGCACUGUGAGCCCUCGCCGCUUCAGGCUGCUUUAUAUGACAUCACACCGCUCUCUUUCUGGCAGGCCACAGGUAUUGACAUGAGAAAAGUACAAUAUAGUGAUACGCCUUAGGACACAUGCAAAUGCACUCUAAAAAAACUCAUAUACCCACUCAUUUCUCUGUGGGAAAGAAGUCAUGACAGCGGGCAUGAAAACAGAGCGUGUCAGAGUGAAUAAACAGUACAAAGGCCGUGAGUCACUGAAAUUUUGGUGCUUAAAUGUAACGACAGUCAGCGCCCUUACGGGGAAAUUCAAGGUUCAAGAUUCAAUUCUAGCUUUUUAUCAUAAAUUUCUGCCGUAUGCGAGUGCAUACAUGAGAAUCGAACAAUAAGUUUCUCUCCAGCCCACGAUAAAAUGCAGAGAAUAUAUUAAAAAUACAAUAGAGAAAAGUAUAGUACAUUAUGAGACUGGUAAAAUGUGUCCGUUUUGACCCUUGGACCGAUUAUGUCUACGUAUACACUAUGUCCUUACAAGAGAGAUAUAUAGAGACAUAUGUGAGUUUGGAUUAGAAUGACAAACAGAGAAGUUUCGACUGUGUUUAUUAAAUCUCUGUAAUUUAGAGUCUGUGGCCGUACAUUUAGAGUCGAAAAUAAAUCCUCUAUCCAUCAUAUUUAGCGCUUUUCAAAGACGAAUUGUUACCAUAAAUUAUGAUUAAAAUAUAUAACAAAGGUUGAAUUAUCUACUCUGAGUUUAAAUCAGUAUUAAAGAAUAAUUUUUAUAUUUAUAUGAUUUUAUAGUGGGCAAAACAGAUGCAACAAGUGUUUAACUCAUAUUUAACCUCAGAUGGGACUCGCAGGGCUUAUUGUUGCACACUUGAACACAAUGCAUGGAUUUUAACAUAUACUUUACCCCUUUGUACUAAAAUACAGACACAUCUGUCUGGCUGCAUACUGUGUGUAUCUUUGUCUACUAAAAAGUAGGUGUGUCUAAAAUUCCUGCUUCCACAAACUCACUCUAGUUCACACUCUUACUUCUAAUAUAUUCUGCACAUUCACACCGUUAAUAUUACAGCAGGUUACAGAUGGUUACACACUGAAUUUCUCACUAGCAAGCACAAUAGGUGCGGCACUACAGACUUAUCAAUUGACUUGAAAAUCUCCUCCUCAAGUGACUGAUUUGCAUCAUAACUCACACACACCCUUUACGUUUGUGUUAUCUCUUCACUUUUGCUCACCUGGAAAUACAGAAAUACUGAAACACAUGCACAUGAAUUUAGCUUUAACAUCUUUGUCUAAUGGACAGGGCGCAUGCAAACUAAUUUAAACCACAAAUAAACCAACUAACAUGUCACAGAUGUUUGAGUGCAUAAAUAUUUAUCACAUUAGGACUGAAUAGAACAAUAUUUAAGAUAUCAAAAUAAAAACAUAAGAGUGUGUGUCACAUUAUUAUGGGUCCUAUGUUAUGUUAUCAGUUCCCAGAUCAAUUUCUUUUUAGAUGUGGUUAUUUCUAACAAUGUUAUGAGAUGUAGCAUGGUACUCCAGUCAUUACAACAAUGCUGCACUGUGUUUAAUCUUCACUCUGCUGCUCUGAAGCUGACUCGGUUCAUUCGGAUCUGUCAGCUGUCUUUGCUUGAUGAAAUAAACUUUUGCUGCAUCUGACUUCAGCUGCCUAGAGAGAUUUUUGAGUCCCUUCAAGACGCCAAUAUUUUCUUUGUAAGGUGUUUUGACAAAGUUUUGAAAAUGCAAAUCAGCUUUGUCACUGCUGUUUUAUAUGUUUAACCGUUUGUAGCUUUAGGAAAAUAAAUUAAUAGGUUUUUAUUUUCGAUAUAAUGUUUAAUUUUUCACUCCAAGUGUCUUUUUUCCUUCACAUUGCUGUCAUGACCUCUGCUACUGUAGACAUUACUAUUUAGCUCACAGGCCAGCCUUAAGCUGAGUAACAUGAGAAAGUUGCAGAGCGAAUGCACUCAUGAAAAUAAAUCAGCAGACAUAAUUUUCUGAUUUUUCCAAAGCACUUAUGCCCCAAAGAAUUUGAGAACAUUUCACAUCUCUGUGCAAAUGUGCAGAGAGCAGCUUAAUUUUGUCCAUGUGCAGCUGCCUAUCAUUCUGCCCAGACCGUGGGUGCGUUUCGCCUCCAUCUCUUAAACGAUGAGGAUACACACAGACCCUUUAAAUUUACAGUUUUGCAAACACUAAUCAAGCCCCUUUGUGACUCUGCAACAGACCCCGUGUUACCGGUCAAUCUCAAUAAGAUGCCAGAGAGUAGAGAAGAGAGAGGGAUGUCGCCCGGUCCCUUUAGGUUUUAUUUUGGUCCCAGGGACUGUCAGCUGAGAGCUCCACACCUCUGCAAAAUGACUAAUGCACAAAAAUGACCCAAACACAGCAACCGAAAAAUACCAGGGAAUAUCAAUUCCCUGCAGACACAAACAUCACCACUCACUUCUUCUGCAUUAUAACUUAUAAUGGAGAUGUAAUAUCUUAAAAAUGCAGUAGACCCUAGUGUGGGGAAAAUCCUCCCCAUUAUGCUUUCUGCUUGUGAACAGUGUUUCAAAUAAUGUGUUGUGUGUUCAGAGACCUUUUUGGACCUUGUUAAAAACAAGAACUUCGGGGUGUUCGUGAUUUGUAUUUUUGUUGCUGCUGUGUUAGAAAAGCGUUGUUUUUUACUAGUAUCAUGUUGAUGCAGUGAAAAACGGUGCUGUGAGUAACAAAUGACCAACAAAUACAUGAAUAUAAUGCCACUUCUAAUAGCAGUAAUUAAAUGUGCAGUAGAGCCGCUUGAUCAUCACAAACAAAAAGCACAAUCACAAUUAUUUCAACUGAUUUAUAUUAUGAUUAUUAAAGAGGACUGCUCAUUAUUUAACAUCUGUGUUAACACUCAUUUGCGCAACUUAAAACCUCCUUAAAACUAAAAAAUCUUGUCAUUCUGAGAGGAAAUAAACUGUUCAGUCUAUAUUUUUGUUUACUUAAGCAUGUCUGUCUGUCUCACUGGAUGAUAUAAAUUAUUCAAAGUCAAAUGUACUUCUACUGAAAAAGCCCAUGCAUUGGACUAAAGGAAUUUUUUUCACUGCCAUAAAAAUUUAAGACUCCUUUACCACUGCAGAUCAAACAUAUGACUCAGUCUUUUUAUGCUUUUAUUUUACAUCUUUUAUAAAGUUAAGACCUGGGCUUGUAUUUUAUUUUCAUGUCUCUAAUUUUUUGGCCUGGCAGUCAUUAGCUUGUGCGCCCUCAUGCACGCUUCUGAUCCCUUCAGCAUCCCUCUUAUGUCCCAGACACACACACACACACACACACACACACACACACACACACACACGCCUGCCUCCUCCUGCUGCUCCUUUCCCUGCUCUCCUCUCUCUUCCUGUGGCUGUGUGAUAGUUUGUGCUGCUGUUGCACCUCGCUGUUAACAAAGAGCGGUUAACCAUUUCUCUUAACAGGAACGAAGACUUCUUCAUGCUCCCAAAAUUUGGUUCACAUUAACCCAAGCUGGGAUGAAGUGGAAGUGAGAGCUGUUUGAGGGGAAGGCCAGCACCCUCGCGCUGCUUGUUAAGAAAGAAAGAAAGUGUAGGACGUAGCAGGAGCAACACAGCAGGCUGCAGUCUCGAUUGUCAUAUUUUUAUGAUCAUGGGGUGCCCAAAUCGUGGUUAAAAAUUGAAAUCUGAUUAAUUACCAAGCUUUUAUGUGUAGUUACUUUUGAGGCUCAUGGUGGCGUUAAAAUUACAGACAAUUAAAAGGGCUUUUAGUAGCAGGCAACAACGUAAUCAUACAAUUCUGUGGGCAAAGAUACGCCCUGGUAAGCAAGUACUUGCGUGCUUUUAAAUGGUGAACGAUCAUUCAGGUGAGCUUUCUGUGUUAGAAACAUGUUGGCUUCUAAUCCGUACACAGGCGGGAGGCGGAACCAAGUUGUCCAUAGCAUAUACAGUCUAUGGUUGGAAACACAAGCAUCAAUUUUCCCUCCUCAAGGUUAAGGAUAUUAUUGUGGUUAGUUUUAGUCUAUACGUGGGAAAACCUGAUUCUACUCCUUAAUCUUGAUCUCACACCUUAUCAAACAACACACUCAGUAGGUGACCCAGCUGCUGCUCCGCAGACCAGGGUGUAACCACUCCAUUCAAACAGCCACGGUUUGAUCUUAAAUCACUGCCAGCUCCUCAGUCUGUAAGUCAGGAAGGACUAAACAGACAGAUUGCAAGGCAUAUUGUUGAAGACAUACUUCCCUUCUCAACUGUUGAGUCUGCUGCUUUCAGAGAGCAAAGCACUGAGAUAAGAGGCGGGGAACAUUAAGAGGAGUACUGAAGCAAAAAGAAGCAACACUGGAGUUACUUUCCUAAUUACCUCAGGACUUGUUUACUAAAGCAGGAACUUUUUUGACAGCUGUAACUAUUAAUCAUGCCUAAUGAUGGAUUUCAGUCUCUUGCCCAACCCCGGUGACAACUCUAUGUUCCAUUAAGUUGGGGUAUAAUUUUGAAUAAUAUCAUUUUUGACCCAGUUACACAACAAGGCAGGAACAGAGAGUAAAACGGCAAUCAGUUAUAUAUAUGAAGUCCUGACUCGCCUACUUAUAGGGGUGGGAGGAAAAAUCGAUACAGCAUAGUAUCGCGAUAUCUUGUCUGGUGAUAUAUCGUAUCAUCGUUUCACGAGUAUCAAUUUUUUUCAAAUUACUGUAUUUUUCGGACUAUAAGUCACGCUUUUUUUCAUAGUUUGGUUGGGCUUGCAACUUAUACUCAGGUGCGACUGAUAUAUAUUAAAAUAUAUAAUUUCACAUGUUUGUUAUUUUCACACAGACAGCCACUAGAGGGCACAUAGUUGUUCAGAAGUGACACCGAGGAUGAGGAAUUCGAUGGAUUUAGUGAUUUGGAGUGAGAUCAAGAGUUUGGUAAACUUGUUUUGAUAUGUUCUUUAUACUAUAGUUAUCUGAAUCACUGUUAAUAUGUUACGUUAACAUACCAGACACCUAUUGAGUUCGUUGUUUAUGUUUCAUGUAGCUGAAUAAACAUCAACGUGCUACAUCAGCGUACCCUACACCUAUUCAGCCUGUUCUCUAUUCUAUUAUUGUUAUCAUAAUUUGCCUUUUAAGAUGAAAUGUCUCUUCUUGGUCUUGGAUUUUGGAGAAUAAAUUUUCCCCCUAAAAUGCAACUUAUACCGGUAUAUCUUUUUUCUUCUUCAUUAUGCAUUUUUUUGGCUGGUGCGAUUUAUACUCUGGAGCAAUUUAUAGUCCGGAAAAUGGUGUAAUAGUGAAGUCAAAUCUAUGAUAUUGGAAAAAUAAAAUCAACUGUUUGUCCAGUGAGGUUGGCAGAGGAGACAUCAUAAAGCAGGAGAAAGUUAGUGCAACAAACACAGCAGCACCUGGGGAGAGACAUUAGGAACGCAAACGGGGCACAAAGUGGACGGACCUGACACAUAAGGUUUGCAAGAAAAUAAAAUACAGUGUUAAUAAGACAAACAUAAAGGAAAGAUAAAUGCUAAGUUAGCUAAACAGUUAAAAAAAAUGUAUAAAUCGCAAUAAUAUCGAAUCAUGGCCCAAGUAUUGUGAUAAUAUCGUAUCAUGGGGCCACAAGUGAUUCCCACCCCUACCUACUAACUGUGUUUUUUUUUUCUCAAAGAGGGAGGCGCCCCACUCUCUGCAACACAAUAUGGUUUCUUUUUUUUUUUUUCCUUUCUUACCUGAGAAAGUGUAAAUAUAGAAUUAUUGAGGAAUUGAUUGUUGUGCUCCUCUGGCCAGUCUGGUGGCAGUCUUCCUCCCAUUAAUCUCUGAUGGCUGCAGAAGAAACUAAAAAUCCAUCUGGGGCCCUCGCUGUAGACUAUUGCCUGAAAGGACUGCUCCAUCCAAACUGAAUUAGGAUCAAUGUGGAACAUACACAAGCAAGAGCAUCAUUAGAUCAAGUGAGAGACCAAAGCAAAGAGAGGGACAGGAGACGGAGGAGAAAAGCAGCUGAGCGCUCUCAUCCUUCUCGGGCCGUGUUAUCAAGCCUUCAAAUGAGAUCAGCGUGAAUGAAAUUUGGUUCCUUUUUCAGAUCUUCAAGCAAUCAUCUACACGCCUGCCUGUUUUUUUUUUAACUUCACUUAAACACGAGCAGUUUGCAUGCACACAUUCGAAUCUCUUUCCAACUUUUCAAAGUGACUGUCGAGAGCCGUUUUGAGCCUUCAAGCCUCGGUCGUAAGCACCACUUUCUCCCCGCAGAUAAGGAGAGGAUGCAGAGUUUGUCAAGGAGGAAGAGGAGCACAAGGAGGCGGUUGUGAAGGAGAAGAAGGGAGCAGCAAAAAAAAAGAAAGAAAAGUGAUGAAGCAGCGGUGAAUAGUGUGCAAGAGACACAGCUGGUGCGGUCGGGCUGCUGGAGUGAGAGCAAGACGGGUGACAGAGACAGAAAGAAAGAUGAAAAGCUGUGGGUGGGUACAGUAGAAGAAGAAAAGGCGUAUUAUAGUGAAGCUGAAAGCAGGUCAGUGACAAAUGGAAAUACAAGGUGAUUGAUAUGCCUGUCACAGUGGCAAAAGGAGAGAUAUGAGUUAGGGAAAUAUGCUACAGGAACUAGAGAGGAGUCAGCAGGAGAUUAGUGAGUGUUAGAUAGGGAGAUUUAGCCGUCGGCAGAUAAAGAGAUACUUUAGAGAGGAAAGCUAAAAAGCAAAGGAGGAUAGGGUGGGCGGGCGAUUUAAGUAAUUUUGAAACUGAUACAGAUUUGUA